AGUCGACAAGGUCUCCGUAGGGUGAACCUGCGGAGGGAUCAUUA
rnacentral:rRNA from 2 species